rnacentral:rRNA from 1 species
AUGUUCUCGUCGACGUCCCUGUCCCGCGUCAACAACAUCCGAGCUGCCCUCACAAAUGCGCAGAAGGGGACGCAAUCGGUGGCUACCUUCUUCGUGUACAUGCGUGGACUCGCCGACGAGCUCGCCGCGGCUGGCAAGCCGUUGAAGGAUGAUGAACUCAUCUCGUACAUCCUCAACGCACUCGACAUGGAGUAUCAGCCGCUGGUUUCCGCCCUCGACGCCAGAACCACUCCGGUCACCCUCGACGAAUUGUUCGGACAGAUGAGCAAUUUUGAUCAGAGGGUGGCUCUUUUCCAAGGUGCGGGAGGUGGCUUCAAGUCAUCUGCCAAUGUUGCCACCCGCGGCCGUGGCGGGGGCUCUCGUUACCGCGGUCCACCGCGGAACGGAAAGGGCAGGAGCGCCCACAACAGCAACAGCAGCGGCGCUACCAACACGCGCGGCGGCCGGCCUCCCUCCUCCAACAACAAAGGCCGCCGCAACAGCAGCUCCAACAACAGAUCACGCCCUGACAUCAGCGACUCAAUGUUGACUAAUGCUCAUAACCACUUCCAUGAGUUUUGUGAUGAUGCAGAUGAUGCAAACUCUGAAGAAAAUGGUGCAGAAAUCGACAAAAACAAUGAAGAAAACGCUCCCAACAUGCCACAUUUUAUGUGUCCAGGUUUGGGGAGCAGAUCCUCCUCGGGAUUGGUUCCCCUGCAGGCUGGCAGCGGAUCGCCCUCGAAAUCUGGGCCGUCCCAGACUGACAGGGCGCGGGAUCCUGCCUCGUCUGGCGAGCGGCGCAGCCCCGCCUCCGCGCCUGCCACGUCGCGCCUCGCCACUGGCUCAGGGGCUCCCUCCGGCCCGCACCACUCGGACGCCCCCGCGCGGCGCACUGAGAGUUGCUGGGCCCCCGCUGGGCCCCUUCACUACGAGCGUCGCCAGUCGAUUGGCGCACAGCCUCAUCAGCUGGCGCCAGACGCGGCCCCCGACGUUGAUUCAGGCCGGUCUCCUGAUGCGGCCCCAGACGCGCGAUCCGACGCGGAUUUGGCCGGGCCCGCCUCAUCAUUGCUGCAUGAUGGGCCUGAGCCGGACGUGCUGCUCCACCGUGGAUCUUCUGCGCCACGAACCGUUUCGCCCGUACCACCUCCCGCUCCCGAUGCCGCAGACGAUCCGUCUGCCCUGCGUGAUGACGAGGUGGCCGGGGCAGGGGGCGCCAUCGGGGGAUCUACUGCGCCGGAUAUAUAUGUUGCGCCUCCUGUUGCUUCACGCACACGUCUCCAAAAAGGGGUAACUAAACCAGUUAAUUACAAGCAAAUAACAAAGUUUGGUCUUGCCUGCUCUACAGAUGAACCACGCUCUGUUGGUGAGGCACUCAAUGAUACAAAGUGGAAGAAGGCCAUGGAAGAAGAACACCUGGCUCUUCUUAAAAGUCACACGUGGCAUCUGGUUCCUCCAAGGCAAGCCGGCGGCGGCCCAGCUAGCGCCGCACCUCGUCGACGAGAUCCUGGAGGAGAUCUUCCUCCGCCUUCCCACACCGACCGCGCCUCCACCGCCUGCGCGUCCUUCCGCCGCAUCAUCGCCGCGUGCUCGUUCCUCCGCGGUUACCGCACCCUCCACCCGCCGCCACUCCUCGGGUUCGCCACCGAAGAAGGCGGCUUCCGCCCGGCCCAGGAUCCCCACCCCUCCGCCCCGCUCGCCCGCGCACUCGUCGAUGGCGCUGGUUUCAGCUACUCCUAUGUCCCAAAGCCCGGCGAUGGCGGUGUGUUCACCCCUUGGUGCCCCCGCGACGUGCGUGAUGGCCGCGUCCUCCUCUUGUGCAACCACUGGCUUCGCCGGUGGGCCAUGACCAUCAGCAGCUCUACGUUACUCCUACUGGCGUCAUCCAUGAAAGAACUUGUCUUGGUGUAA